GCCUAGUUAGCUUAGUUGGUAAUGCGUCUGCCUUGUAAGCGCUAGGCCGCGGGUUCGAUUCCCACCCGGGGUG
rnacentral:tRNA from 1 species